UCCGGUUUGUCACCGGCUGUCCCGUGCAUGUCAAGCCUUGGUAAGGUUCUUCGCGUAGCUUCGAAUUAAACCGCACGCUCCGCUGCUUGUGCGGGCCCCCGUCAAUUCCUUUGAGUUUUAGCCUUGCGGCCGUAGUCCCCAGGCGGAGCACUUAUCGCGUUGGCUGCGCUACCGAGGGGGUCGAUACCCCCGACAGCUAGUGCUCAUCGUUUACGGCGUGGACUAC
rnacentral:misc_RNA from 1 species